AGCGAACGCUGGCGGCAGGCCUAACACAUGCAAGUCGAACGAACUCUUCGGAGUUAGUGGCAGACGGGUGAGUAACACGUGGGAACGUACCUUUUGGUUCGGAAUAACUCAGGGAAACUUGUGCUAAUACCGAAUGUGCCCUUCGGGGGAAAGAUUUAUCGCCAUUAGAGCGGCCCGCGUCUGAUUAGCUAGUUGGUGAGGUAACGGCUCACCAAGGCGACGAUCAGUAGCUGGUCUGAGAGGAUGACCAGCCACACUGGGACUGAGACACGGCCCAGACUCCUACGGGAGGCAGCAGUGGGGAAUCUUGCGCAAUGGGCGAAAGCCUGACGCAGCCAUGCCGCGUGAAUGAUGAAGGUCUUAGGAUUGUAAAAUUCUUUCACCGGGGACGAUAAUGACGGUACCCGGAGAAGAAGCCCCGGCUAACUUCGUG
rnacentral:rRNA from 1 species